GAUGAACGCUGGCGGCGUGCCUAAUACAUGCAAGUCGAACGAGGUGCUUUUGUAGCAAUACGAGAGUAUCCUAGUGGCGAACGGGUGAGUAACGCGUGGAUGACCUGCCCCAAAGUGUGGGAUAACAGUCCGAAAGGAUUGCUAAUACCUCAUGUGGUUAUCGGUUUUAGAAAGCGAUAACUAAAGCAGCAAUGCGCUUUGGGAGGGAUCUGCGUCCCAUCAGCUAGUUGGUGAGGUAACGGCUCACCAAGGCGACGACGGGUAGGGGACCUGAGAGGGUGGCCCCCCACAAUGGAACUGAAACACGGUCCGUACACCUACGGGUGGCAGCAGUAGGGAAUAUUGCUCAAUGGGCGAAAGCCUGAAGCAGCAACGCCGCGUGUGCGAUGAAGGCCUUGGUCGUAAGGCACUUUCUAAGAGAUGAGAAAGGACAGUAUCUUAGGAAUAAGUCUCGGCUAACUACGUGCCAGCAGCCGCGGU
rnacentral:rRNA from 1 species